GCUCCGCUCCGUGGGCCUAGCACGUGUCUCUGUGGGGAAACAUCCAAAUGUUGGCUGACACUGAUUCAGGGCUGAGGGCUGUGGAUGGCAUUUUUGACUUUUUCAUUUCUCCUAAUUUCCACUCCUUCACGACGAGGUCCCACUACUCCCACUACUGCACAGCUACACCCAGUCUUGGCGAGUAGGCUCCAGCCCGCGCGUGCUCGCUGAGGAGGCGCGGGCCCGGCGGAAGCCAUGUUUGUGGCGCGCAGCAUCGCGGCGGACCAUAAGGACCUCAUCCACGAUGUGUCUUCCGACUUCCACGGCCGGCGGAUGGCGACCUGCUCCAGCGACCAGAGCGUCAAGGUCUGGCAUAAAAGUGAAAGUGAAGAUUGGCAUUGUACUGCUAGCUGGAAGACUCACAGUGGAUCUGUAUGGCGUGUGACAUGGGCACAUCCUGAAUUCGGACAGGUUUUGGCUUCCUGUUCUUUUGACUGAACAGUUGCUGUGUGGGAAGAAAUAGUAGGAGAAUCAAAUGAUAAACUGUGAGGACAGAGUCACUGGCUGGCCAGUAAGGGGAUCUGAACCCAUGACCUUGGCGUUAUCAGCACCACACUCUAACCAAGUGAGCUCACUGGUCAGCUCUGAGGUGAUUGCUAUAAAAGUA